GCUUACAGCCAUACCACCCUGAGCACGCCCGAUCUCGUCUGAUCUCGGAAGCUAAGCAGGGUCGGGCCUGGUUAGUACUUGGAUGGGAGACCGCCUGGGAAUACCAGGUGCUGUAAGCU
rnacentral:rRNA from 1 species